rnacentral:rRNA from 1 species
UACGGGGGGGGGCAAGCGUUGUUCGGAAUUACUGGGCGUAAAGGGCUCGUAGGCGGCCAACUAAGUCCGACGUGAAAUCCCCAGGCUCAACUUGGGAACUGCGUCGGAUACUGGAUGGCUUGAAUUCGGGAGAGGGAUGCAGAAUUCCAGGUGUAGCGGUGAAAUGCGUAGAUAUCUGGAGGAAUACCGGUGGCGAAGGCGGCAUCCUGGACCGACAUUGACGCUGAGGAGCGAAAGCUAGGGGAGCAAACGGG